GACGAACGCUGGCGGCGUGCUUAACACAUGCAAGUCGAACGGAAAGGCCCUGCUUUUGUGGGGUGCUCGAGUGGCGAACGGGUGAGUAACACGUGAGUAACCUGCCCUUGACUUUGGGAUAACUUCAGGAAACUGGGGCUAAUACCGGAUAGGAGCUCCUGCUGCAUGGUGGGGGUUGGAAAGUUUCGGCGGUUGGGGAUGGACUCGCGGCUUAUCAGCUUGUUGGUGGGGUAGUGGCUUACCAAGGCUUUGACGGGUAGCCGGCCUGAGAGGGUGACCGGCCACAUUGGGACUGAGAUACGGCCCAGACUCCUACGAGAGGCAGCAGUGGGGAAUAUUGCACAAUGGGCGGAAGCCUGAUGCAGCAACGCCGCGUGCGGGAUGACGGCCUUCGGGUUGUAAACCGCUUUCGCCUGUGACGAAGCGUGAGUGACGGUAAUGGGUAAAGAAGCACCGGCUAACUACGUGCCAGCAGCCGCGGUGAUACGUAGGGUGCGAGCGUUGUCCGGAUUUAUUGGGCGUAAAGGGCUCGUAGGUGGUUGAUCGCGUCGGAAGUGUAAUCUUGGGGCUUAACCCUGAGCGUGCUUUCGAUACGGGUUGACUUGAGGAAGGUAGGGGAGAAUGGAAUUCCUGGUGGAGCGGUGGAAUGCGCAGAUAUCAGGAGGAACACCAGUGGCGAAGGCGGUUCUCUGGGCCUUUCCUGACGCUGAGGAGCGAAAGCGUGGGGAGCGAACAGGCUUAGAUACCCUGGUAGUCCACGCUGUAAACGGUGGGUACUAGGUGUGGGGUCCAUUCCACGGGUUCCGUGCCGUAGCUAACGCUUUAAGUACCCCGCCUGGGGAGUACGGCCGCAAGGCUAAAACUCAAAGGAAUUGACGGGGCCCCGCACAAGCGGCGGAGCAUGCGGAUUAAUUCGAUGCAACGCGUAGAACCUUACCUGGGUUUGACAUGGAUCGGGAGUGCUCAGAGAUGGGUGUGCCUCUUUUGGGGUCGGUUCACAGGUGGUGCAUGGCUGUCGUCAGCUCGUGUCGUGAGAUGUUGGGUUAAGUCCCGCAACGAGCGCAACCCUUGUUCACUGUUGCCAGCACGUUAUGGUGGGGACUCAGUGGAGACCGCCGGGGUCAACUCGGAGGAAGGUGGGGAUGACGUCAAGUCAUCAUGCCCCUUAUGUCCAGGGCUUCACGCAUGCUACAAUGGCUGGUACAGAGAGUGGCGAGCCUGUGAGGGUGAGCGAAUCUCGGAAAGCCGGUCUCAGUUCGGAUUGGGGUCUGCAACUCGACCUCAUGAAGUCGGAGUCGCUAGUAAUCGCAGAUCAGCAACGCUGCGGUGAAUACGUUCCCGGGGCU
rnacentral:rRNA from 1 species